GAUGAACGCUAGCUACAGGCUUAACACAUGCAAGUCGCGGGGCAGCAUGGGGGUUGCUUGCAAUCCCCGAUGGCGACCGGCGCACGGGUGAGUAACGCGUAUCCAACCUGCCCUUCACCACGGGAUAACCCGGCGAAAGUCGGACUAAUACCGUAUGUUGUCCAUUGACGGCAUCCGAUUUGGACGAAAGGCUUGGCGGUGAGGGAUGGGGAUGCGUCCGAUUAGCCAGACGGCGGGGUAACGGCCCACCGGGGAUACGGUCGGUAGGGGUGCGGAGAGGAAGGUCCCCCACACUGGAACUGAGACACGGUCCAGACUCCUACGGGAGGCAGCAGUGAGGAAUAUUGGUCAAGGGGCGUAAGCCUGAACCAGCCAAGUAGCGUGCAGGAGGACGGCCCUAUGGGUUGUAAACUGCUUUUAUGCGGGGAUAAAGUGGCCCACGUGUGGGCUUUUGCAGGUACCGCAUGAAUAAGGACCGGCUAAUUCCGUG
rnacentral:rRNA from 1 species